ensembl:snRNA U2 U2 spliceosomal RNA
AUAGCUCCCAGCCUUUUGGCUAAGAUUAAGGGUAGUGUCUAUUACUAGUGUAAUAUCUGAUAUGUCCUCUGCAGGGGGACGACACAUUAAGCGGAUUUUUAGGACCAGGAGUUGAAUUCUCUCUCUGGACUGUAUCAUGUACACUGGACCCAAGGGAAGGCACUGGAGCACUUGGUCAAUUAAUGU